rnacentral:rRNA from 1 species
UAUUAUAGUUAAAGGAAAAAAAAUAAACCAGAGUAUUAAUAGUUAUUUUCUUUAAAUUCAAAGAAUUUGGCGGUAUUUUAGUCUUUUUAGAGGAACCUGUUUCGUAAACGACAUACCACGAAGAUCUUACCUACUUUGAUGUUUGUAUACCGUCAUUAUCAGAUAACUUUUAUAAAAUUAGUUAUUAUAAUUAAAUUGGAUUAAAAAAAUUAGAUCAAGGUGCAGUGUAUGAGUAGGAGAAAAUGGGUUACAAUAAAAAUAGUUUAUACGGAAUUAUUUUUGAAAUUCUAAAUAAUAAAGGUGGAUUUAAUUGUAAAAUUAAGAAUUAUAAUAUUUUGAUAUAGGCUCUAAGAUAU